rnacentral:lncRNA from 1 species
CCCGACCCCGACAAUCCUGGCCGGCGUCAUCGAUCCUCUGACCACAACAACCUCUUUCCUUGUUUUGGUCGUGUUGGUGUUUGUGAUUUGACUUCAAGAAUCAAGAUUCUUGAAGAAAAGUGCACGCCAUGGCAUUUUGAAAACGAGACAUCCAAGCAAUGUUGUAAAAAGCGGGAAUAGGACUUAAUCGGUGAAGUCACGGAACAGGAAUUGAUC